UGUGCAUCAUUGGGAAUCUGGAAUGGAGAGAAUGUGUAACUAGUAUAUUUUUUUUUCUGCAUUAGUAGGAACAUUAAUUAUUAAGUUGGUAUGAAUAAGACUUAUUUAGAUUUGUUGAUUUCUAAAUACUCAUUUAUUUAUUUAUUCAUAAUAAAAGGUUAAAGUUUAGUUAUAUGUUUUCCGCUGUAAAAUUCUGAAAAAGCCGAUACGUUUUCACACGGGUGAUAAUAUUUGGGUAACUCUCUAAGUUUUGUAUUAUAAAGGUAUUUCUGAAAAGAGAGAAUUAUCGGGGAGUUACAGGCCAAUCUUAUAUAUAUAUAUAUAUAUAUAUAAUAUUUGGGCUCAUGUGAGAAUAACAUGGUUAUGUGAGAAUACUUAGUUAUAUGAGAAUAAAUCCCUGCCUUAGAUCCCUCUAAUCUAACGGCUGACAUUUCCAAAAAAAACAAAAAAAACAAAAAUUCACCAUCGACACUACUAUAGCAGUAAUCCCCAUAAAACAACAACCGACCCUACUGUAGCUCAUUAAUCCCCCAAAAAAAAACCACCGAAUUCCCAAUGGCGUGUAUCUUCUUCGUGCAACCCAAUUGAAGCUCUCCAUUUUCGUCCAUUGUUGAAGCUUCAACAACAUCCAAAACUAGCAAUUUAUCCUCAAUUAAAGCUCGAACAAGAUUCCAAAUUCUCCAUCGAAGCUUGAAAAUGAUUUAAAGUGUUGUUAUUGAUGCUGGAAUAAGUGGGAGGAUUUUGAUGAAUUGGUCUGACUUUUGCAAUUGAGAAUUGAGAGCAGAAUUAACAACAUCCUUGGACAUCCCAUAGGAAACAACAUAUCUAAUCACAAAGGGUGAUUUUUUUUUACUAGAGUAAAAUCACAACACUAAACUUGUUUGGUACAGAUAUAUGCACUUAACUUGUUUCCUUUUAUGCAAUAUGAAUUCCCAACUUGUACUUAAUAGUGUCCUAGCAAUUUAAUGUACUUUUAGUGUAGCACUGAUGUACAUGUAGUAAACUCAUGAUGUACAUGCAGUAUACAUAUGAUGAACAUGUCCGAAAUCAUCAGA